GAUGAACUCUGGCGGCGUGCUUAACACAUGCAAGUCGAACGAAGCACUUUAUUUGAUUUCUUCGGAAUGAAGAUUUUGUGACUGAGUGGCGGACGGGUGAGUAACGCAUGGGUAACCUGCCUCAUACGGGGGGAUAACAGUUGGAAACGACUGCUAAUACCGCAUAAGCGCACAGGGUCGCAUGACCUGGUGUGAAAAACUCCGGUGGUAUGAGAUGGACCCGCGUCUGAUUAGCCAGUUGGUGGGGUAACGGCCUACCAAAGCAACGAUCAGUAGCCGACCUGAGAGGGUGACCGGCCACAUUGGGACUGAGACACGGCCCAAACUCCUACGGGAGGCAGCAGUGGGGAAUAUUGCACAAUGGGGGAAACCCUGAUGCAGCGACGCCGCGUGAGCGAAGAAGUAUUUCGGUAUGUAAAGCUCUAUCAGCAGGGAAGAAGAAAUGACGGUACCUGACUAAGAAGCACCGGCUAAAUACGUGCCAGCAGCCGCGGUAAUACGUAUGGUGCAAGCGUUAUCCGGAUUUACUGGGUGUAAAGGGAGCGCAGGCGGUACGGCAAGUCUGAUGUGAAAGCCCGGGGCUCAACCCCGGUACUGCAUUGGAAACUGUCGGACUAGAGUGUCGGAGGGGUAAGUGGAAUUCCUAGUGUAGCGGUGAAAUGCGUAGAUAUUAGGAGGAACACCAGUGGCGAAGGCGGCUUACUGGACGAUUACUGACGCUGAGGCUCGAAAGCGUGGGGAGCAAACAGAAUUAGAUACCCUGGUAGUCCACGCCGUAAACG
rnacentral:rRNA from 1 species